rnacentral:rRNA from 1 species
ACUCAAAGGAAUUGACGGGGGCCCGCACAAGCGGAGGAGCAUGUGGUUUAAUUCGAUGAUACGCGAGGAACCUUACCAGGGCUUAAAUGGGAGACGACAGUUUGGGAAACCAGAUUUUCUUCGGACGUCUUUCAAGGUGCUGCAUGGUUGUCGUCAGCUCGUGCCGUGAGGUGUCAGGUUAAGUCCUAUAACGAGCGCAACCCCUAUCGUUAGUUGCCAGCGGGUCAUGCCGGGAACUCUAACGAGACUGCCAGUGCAAACUGUGAGGAAGGUGGGGAUGACGUCAAAUCAUCACGGCCCUUACGUCCUGGGCUACACACGUGCUACAAUGGACGGUACAGAGAGCAGCCACUACGCAAGUAGGAGCGAAUCUUUAAAACCGUUCUCAGUUCGGAUCGGAGUCUGCAACUCGACUCCGUGAAGCUGGAUUCGCUAGUAAUCGCAUAUCAGCCAUGAUGCGGUGAAUACGUUCCCGGGCCUUGUACACACCGCCCGU